rnacentral:rRNA from 1 species
GCGGCGUGCUUAACACAUGCAAGUCGAACGACCCUCUUGGUUUUGAUUCCUUCGGGAUGAAGAAUCUUGUGACUGAGUGGCGGACGGGUGAGUAACGCGUGGGUAACCUGCCUCAUACAGGGGGAUAACAGCUGGAAACGGCUGCUAAUACCGCAUAACCCGCUAGGGCCACAUGGCCCGGACGGAAAAGAUUUUAUCGGUAUGAGAUGGACCCGCGUCUGAUUAGCUAGUUGGAGGGGUAACGGCCCACCAAGGCGACGAUCAGUAGCCGACUUGAGAGAGUGAUCGGCCACAUUGGGACUGAGACACGGCCCAAACUCCUACGGGAGGCAGCAGUGGGGAAUAUUGCACAAUGGGGGAAACCCUGAUGCAGCGACGCCGUGUGAGUGAAGAAGUAUUUCGGUAUGUAAAGCUCUAUCAGCAGGGAAGAUAAUGACGGUACCUGACUAAGAAGCCCCGGCUAACUACGUGCCAGCAGCCGCGGUAAUACGUAGGGGGCAAGCGUUUUCCGGAUUUACUGGGUGUAAAGGGAGCGUAAGUGGCGUGGCAAGUCACAAUUGAAAGCCCGGGGCUCACCCCGGGACUGCUUUUGAAACUGUCAUGCUGGAGUGCAGGAAAGGUAAUCGGAAUUCCUAGUGUAGCGAGGGAAAAAGCGUAAAUAUACGGAGGACCACCAGUGGCGAAGGCGGCUUACUGGACUGUAACUGAACACUGAGGCUCGAAAGCGUGGGGAGCAAACAAGGAUUAGAUACCCUGGUAGUCCACGCCGUAAACAAUGAAUACUAGGUGUCGGGGCCGUAUGGGCUUCGGUGCCGUAGCUAACGCAAUAAGUAUUCCACCUGGGGAGUACGUUCGCAAGAAUGAAACUCAAAGGAAUUUGACGGGGACCCGCACAAGCGGUGGAGCAUGUGGUUUAAUUCGAAGCAACGCGAAGAACCUUACCAAGCCUUGACAUCCCAAUGACCGUCCGGUAAUGCGGACUUUCCUUCGGGACAUUGGUGACAGGUGGUGCAUGGUUGUCGUCAGCUCGUGUCGUGAGAUGUUGGGUUAAGUCCCGCAACGAGCGCAACCCCUAUCUUUAGUAGCCAGCGGUUUGGCCGGGCACUCUGGAGAGACUGCCAGGGAUAACCUGGAGGAAGGUGGGGAUGACGUCAAAUCAUCAUGCCCCUUAUGGCUUGGGCUACACACGUGCUACAAUGACGGUUACAAAGUGAAGCAGCCUCGUGAGAGUGAGCAAAACACAAAAAGGUCGUCUCAGUUCGGAUUGUAGUCUGCAACUCGACUACAUGAAGCUGGAAUCGCUAGUAAUCAAAAAUCAGAAUGUCGCGGUGAAUACGUUCCCGG